AGAACGAACGCUGGCGGCAUGCCUAAUACAUGCAAGUCGAACGAACACUUCGGUGUUAGUGGCGCACGGGUGCGUAACGCGUGGGAAUCUGCCCCUUGGUUCGGAAUAACAGUUGGAAACGACUGCUAAUACCGGAUGAUGACGAAAGUCCAAAGAUUUAUCGCCAAGGGAUGAGCCCGCGUAGGAUUAGCUAGUUGGUGAGGUAAAGGCUCACCAAGGCAACGAUCCUUAGCUGGUCUGAGAGGAUGAUCAGCCACACUGGGACUGAGACACGGCCCAGACUCCUACGGGAGGCAGCAGUAGGGAAUAUUGGACAAUGGGCGAAAGCCUGAUCCAGCAAUGACGCGUGAGUGAUGAAGCCUUAGGGUUGUAAAGCUCUUUUACCCGAGAUGAUAAUGACAGUAUCGGAGAAUAAGCCCGGCUAACGUCCGUGCCAGCAGCCGC
rnacentral:rRNA from 1 species